CUUGGGCUUAUCCAAUGGUCAAAACAAUUAAACAAGUUUUAAAAGGCUGAGGGAUAGAAAAUUAAUGGGAAAAGCUAUUAAUCGGAUAAUUAAUGUUAAACAAUGUUAAAUGUAUUUAUCUUGAAAUAAAUAAAGAAAAACGGUCAUAUUUAGUAAAGAAUAAAGAAAAUAAAUAGAGAAAAAAAUAAAAUAUGGGCCUGAUCAUGCUAUGCACGUGAGCUGGUCCGACCAUCUCCAUGUGUAAUU
rnacentral:lncRNA from 1 species